rnacentral:rRNA from 1 species
UACGUAGGAGGCAAGCGUUGUCCGGAAUCACUGGGCGUAAAGCGUGCGCAGGCGGUUGUGCAAGACCGAUGUGAAAUCCCCCGGGCUUAACCUGGGAAUGGCAUUGGUGACUGCACGGCUAGAGUGUGUCAGAGGGGGGUAGAAUUCCACGUGUAGCAGUGAAAUGCGUAGAGAUGUGGAGGAAUACCGAUGGCGAAGGCGACCCUGG